GACGAACGCUGGCGGCGUGCCUAACACAUGCAAGUCGAACGGAACUUCUUUAAAGGAUUUCUUCGGAAUGAAUUUGAUUAAGUUUAGUGGCGGACGGGUGAGUAACGCGUGAGUAACCUGCCUCUAAGAGGGGAAUAGCAUUCUGAAAAGAAUGCUAAUACCGCAUAAUAUAUAUUUAUCGCAUGGUAGAUAUAUCAAAGAUUUAUCGCUUAGAGAUGGACUCGCGUCCGAUUAGUUAGUUGUGAGGUAACGGCUCACCAAGACCGCGAUCGGUAGCCGGACUGAGAGGUUGAACGGCCACAUUGGGACUGA
rnacentral:rRNA from 1 species